rnacentral:lncRNA from 1 species
CCUCCAAAUACCUCCCUCAGAGCAGCCAGGCAUGAUGGCACACACCUGUAAUCCCAGCACUCAGGAGGCUGAGUACUUAGAUAUUAUUAAGAAAUCAGAUUUAGACACAAACCAAACUUGCAUUUUGCCUGAUAGAAUAAAUCAGUGGAUGCAACUUCUUUCCAUUAAGGAUGCUCGCUAAGACCUGUG